rnacentral:rRNA from 1 species
UACGUAAGUGGCGAGCGUUAUCCGGAAUUACUGGGCGUAAAGCGUGUGUAGGCGGUUUAGUGUGUGGGAAUUGAAAGCCCGGGGCUCAACUCCGGAUCCGGUUCCCAAACUGCUAGACUCGAGAGUAUCAGAGGAGAGCGGAAUUCCCGGUGUAGCGGUGAAAUGCGCAGAUAUCGGGAGGAACACCAGUGGCGAAGGCGGCUCACUGGCCCGGUACUGACGCUGAGGCACGAAAGCGUGGGGAGCAAACAGG